rnacentral:tRNA from 1 species
GGGUGGUGCAAUUAGUUGUGAGGGGUUUAGUGGUGUUACUGCUAAUAAUACAGAGAGCUUAGUAAGCUCACCUCUCU